rnacentral:rRNA from 1 species
UGGGGAAUUUUGCACAAUGGGGGAAACCCUGAUGCAGCGACGCCGCGUGAUUUAGAAGGCCUUCGGGUUGUAAAAAUCUUUUUUACGGGAUGAAAAUGACAGUACCGUAAGAAUAAGGUCCGGCUAAAUACGUGCCAGCAGCCGCGGUAAUACGUAUGGACCGAGCGUUGUCCGGAAUCAUUGGGCGUAAAGGGUACGUAGUCGGCCUAGUAAGUUAGAAGUUAAAGAAUAUAGCUCAACUAUAUAAAGCUUUUAAAACUGCUAGGCUUGAGAGAUGGAAGGGAAAGUGGAAUUCCUAGUGUAGCGGUGAAAUGCGCAGAUAUUAGGAAGAAUACCGGUGGCGAAGGCGACUUUCUGGUCAUCAUCUGACGCUGAGGUACGAAAGCGUGGGUAGCAAACAGG